AACGCUAGCUACAGGCUUAACACAUGCAAGUCGAGGGGCAGCAUGUUGGUUGCUUGCAACCAAUGAUGGCGACCGGCGCACGGGUGAGUAACGCGUAUCCAACCUUCCCCAUAGUAGGGCAUAGCCCGUAGAAAUGCGGAUUAAUACCCUAUGUUUUCCUUUGCAGGCAUCUAACGAGGAAUAAAGGUUUACCGCUAUGUGAUGGGGAUGCGUCUGAUUAGGUUGCAGGCGGGGUAACGGCCCACCUGGCCGACGAUCAGUAGGGGUUCUGAGAGGAAGGUCCCCCACACUGGUACUGAGACACGGACCAGACUCCUACGGGAGGCAGCAGUGAGGAAUAUUGGUCAAUGGGCGAGAGCCUGAACCAGCCAAGUAGCGUGCAGGACGACUGCCCUAUGGGUUGUAAACUGCUUUUAUGCGGGAAUAAAGUGAGGCACGUGUGCCUUUUUGUAUGUACCGCAUGAAUAAGGACCGGCUAAUUCCGUGCCAGCAGCCGCGGUAAUACGGAAGGUCCGGGCGUUAUCCGGAUUUAUUGGGUUUAAAGGGAGCGCAGGCUGGAGAUUAAGCGUGCUGUGAAAUGUACCGGCUCAACCGGUGACGUGCAGCGCGAACUGGUUUCCUUGAGUGAGUACGACGUCAGCGGAAUUCGUGGUGUAGCGGUGAAAUGCUUAGAUAUCACGAAGAACUCCGAUUG
rnacentral:rRNA from 1 species